UACGUAGGGUGCGAGCGUUGUCCGGAAUUAUUGGGCGUAAAGAGCUCGUAGGCGGUGUGUCGCGUCGGCCGUGAAAACCUGCAGCUUAACUGUGGGCGUGCGGUCGAUACGGGCAUCACUGGAGUUCGGCAGGGGAGAACGGAAUUCCCGGUGUAGCGGUGAAAUGCGCAGAUAUCGGGAGGAACACCGGUGGCGAAGGCGGUUCUCUGGGCCUUACCUGACGCUGAGGAGCGAAAGCGUGGGGAGCGAACAGG
rnacentral:rRNA from 1 species